UACGUAGGGUGCGAGCGUUAAUCGGAAUUACUGGGCGUAAAGCGUGCGCAGGCGGUCUGUUAAGACCGAUGUGAAAUCCCCGGGCUUAACCUGGGAACUGCAUUGGUGACUGGCAGGCUAGAGACUGGUAGAGGCGAGCGGAAUUCCUGGUGUAGCGGUGGAAUGCGUAGAUAUCAGGAAGAACACCGGUGGCGAAGGCGGCUCGCUGGGCCAGUUCUGACACUCAUCCGCGAAAGCGUGGGGAGCAAACAGG
rnacentral:rRNA from 1 species